rnacentral:lncRNA from 1 species
GCUUGAAACAGGACCUAGAUCUUGGGCUUUGAUGCCCUUGCAUCAUGUUACCCCCAUUCUGCAAAGAACCUGAAUUUUGAGACUGGAAUCUGGCACGCACAAAUCUAGAUCAGGUCUUAGGAAGGCCUGAGCCCAUAGACCAUUAUCCAAUAAAAGGGUGCAGACAUGGCCUAAGACACUAAUAUUUGUGCAAGUGAACAGCUCAGCCUGUGGGCUGAGAUACGAUACCAACUAGAAUAUCAAUCAGGGAAGGCAAAUCUCCCAAAGAGAAAUUUUUGAUGCACCGUAGGCAAUGUAGAAAAUCCG